AAGGCUGUAGCGCAGAGGUCGUCGCGCCUUGCAGCGGGCUGGAGGACGUCGGUUCGAAUCCGACCAGCCUUG
rnacentral:tRNA from 1 species